rnacentral:lncRNA from 1 species
AUGACAGAAGUGUACCAGCACUUCCUCCAGCUGCUGCUGAUUCACAGUGCGCUGGAGGAAUGGAAAGUUAGGCAUCUGCAGAACUCCUGCUACAAUGUUCCUGCCUGAACUGCUGCUGUAGACAAGCUGUAGAACUUCAUCAACAGUAUCAACAGUGUCUUGGAGUCUUGCAUACUGAGCUAAAGCAGUCACUGAAGACCCAUUUAUGCACUGGCGAAUCUUGCUACAACUUCAGUUUCCAAAAUGGCCAGGGAUUUUGCAGAGAGAACAAGUUGAAUCUGUUUAAGAAAGGCUUAGGAACUAAUUGUUUACUCAGAAACUGGCUUUGCUUCUUCUACAAACAUUUUGAACGAAGUUGAUCAACUCAGAGGCAAAAAGAUGAGGAAGCAGAAAGCAGGGAGGUGCUGCAGAAAUUUGUGCAGGUGACAGAUAGGGGUGGGGCGGUCACCUUGCAUGGCCAGGCUAUCCCUGGAGAUGGAGUGGUUCACCUGAGAGAGCUACCCAGAUUUUGUGAAGAUAUGCAACAUCUGCCACAGCUUCCUCAUCAAGGCUCAAAGCUGUGAGACAUGUUGUAUUAGGAUGCAUUUGCCUUGCAUGGCCAAGUACUUCCAGGCCACCUCUGGACCACACUGCCCGCCCUGUAAUGACUGGCCCCAUGACAUAGCAGGAGUCUUCAACCCUGAGAAGGAGAGGGAGCAGAAAGUCC